rnacentral:rRNA from 1 species
ACGGGUGCGUAACGCGUAUGCAACCUACCUUAAUCAGGGGGAUAGCCCGAAGAAAUUCGGAUUAACACCGCAUAAAAUCACAGUACAGCAUUGUACAAUGAUCAAAUAUUUAUAGGAUUAAGAUGGGCAUGCGUGUCAUUAGCUAGUUGGCGGGGUAACGGCCCACCAAGGCGACGAUGACUAGGGGAUCUGAGAGGAUGGCCCCCCACACUGGUACUGAGACACGGACCAGACUCCUACGGGAGGCAGCAGUAAGGAAUAUUGGUCAAUGGAGGGAACUCUGAACCAGCCAUGCCGCGUGCAGGAAGACAGCCCUCUGGGUCGUAAACUGCUUUUAUUCGGGAAUAAACCUCAAUACGUGUAUUGAGCUGAAUGUACCGAAGGAAUAAGGAUCGGCUAACUCCGUGCCAGCAGCCGCGGUAAUACGGAGGAUCCAAGCGUUAUCCGGAUUUAUUGGGUUUAAAGGGUGCGUAGGCGGCUUAUUAAGUCAGGGGUGAAAGACGGUGGCUCAACCAUCGCAGUGCCCUUGAUACUGAUGAGCUUGAAUACACUAGAGGUAGGCGGAAUGUGACAAGUAGCGGUGAA